rnacentral:rRNA from 1 species
GACGAACGCUGGCGGCGUGCUUAACACAUGCAAGUCGAACGGUGAAGCGAGUGCUUGCACUCGUGGAUCAGUGGCGAACGGGUGAGUAACACGUGAGUAACCUGCCCAUCACUCUGGGAUAAGCACUGGAAACGGUGUCUAAUACUGGAUACGACCAACCCUUGCAUGGGGUGUUGGUGGAAAGAUUUAUCGGUGAUGGAUGGACUCGCGGCCUAUCAGCUUGUUGGCGGGGUAAUGGCCCACCAAGGCGACGACGGGUAGCCGGCCUGAGAGGGUGACCGGCCACACUGGGACUGAGACACGGCCCAGACUCCUACGGGAGGCAGCAGUGGGGAAUAUUGCACAAUGGGCGAAAGCCUGAUGCAGCGACGCCGCGUGAGGGAUGACGGCCUUCGGGUUGUAAACCUCUUUCAGCAGGGAAGAAGCGAAAGUGACGGUACCGGCAGAAGAAGCACCGGCUAACUACGU